UUGGCGGCGUGAGCGAUGAAUGGCUUUCGGUUGUAAGCUCUGUUGUUAGGGAAGAACCUGUACCGGAGUAACUGCCAGUACCUUGACCGUACCUAACCAUAAAGCCACGGCUAACUACGUGCCAGCAGCCGCGGUAAUACGUAAGUGGCGAGCGUUGUCCGGAAUUAUUGGGCGUAAAGCGCGCGCAGGCGGUCUUUUAAGUCUGAUGUGAAAUCCCACGGCUCAACCGUGGAAGGUCAUUGGAAACUGGGGGACUUGAGUGCGUAAGAGGAAAGUGGAAUUCCACGUGUUCCGGUGAAAUGCGUAUAGAUGUGGAGGAACUCUGGGGUGAAGGGAGCUUUCUGGUCUGUAACUGACGCUGAGGACGAAUUC
rnacentral:rRNA from 1 species